GGCAGAGCCAAAACCGUAACAGCCAGAGCUAGAGACUCCGGCCUGGGGUUCUGGCUCUGUCCCGUAUCAGCUAGGAAACCCAGGGCAAGCUACUUAAACUCUCAGAGGCUCAGCUUUUUCAUGAGCAAACAGGAAAACAGGGCUAAUGAUUAGUCCUUGGCUUAAAAUACAUACCGCGUGUGAAAUUGCAGGUAUAUAAUAGAUUCACUAAAUGAGAGGGCGAGUUAUCAACACUUACUCUCCAAUGCGUCAUCACCCCCAACACUCCUGUGUAUUUCCUGCAAAUAAGGAUCUUCUCCUACAUGGUCAGUCCGAACAACCUUCAGUCACAACUGAGAAGGUCACAUGGUGCAUCACUGCCGCUCAGUCUCCCCAAGCCCAGUGAUUUCUUCACAGUAAGUGCAUCCAGUUCAAGUUGGCAUGCAGCAUUUUGUUGUCACAUCUCUUAGUCUCCAGUCUGAGGCUGUGCUCAGUCUUUACUUGAGUCUCAUAACCUUGACACUUUCAAAGAUGAAGGACUGGUUAUCUUGUGGACUGUCCCUUCACUUGAGUGUGUGCUGAUCCCUUGGGAUUUGAUGGCAGGAACAUGGCAGAAGCGUUAUUCCACUGCACUUGAUUUCAGUUUGCCCUGUGUAAGCAUUCUUUUUUUUUCUUUCUGUUUUUUCUUUUUUUUUUUUUUUGAGACAGAAUCUCGCUCUGUCACCUAAGCUAGAAUGUAGUGGCACAAUCAUGGCUCACUGCGGCCUUAACCUCCUGGGCUCAAGUGAUCCUCCUGCCACAGCCUCCUGAGGAGCUGGGACCACAGAUGCACCACUAUCACACCCAGCUAUUUUUUUUAGAGGUGGGGUCUUGCUGUGAUGCCAAGGCUCAUCUUGAAUGCUAAUGUUCACUUUGAUUAUUCGUUUAAAGUGGUGUCUUCCAGAGUUCUCUGUAAAGUUACUCUUUUCCUCUUGUAAUAAAUAAAUAUUUUGUGAGGUGGUAUAUUGAGACUGAAUAUUCCAUUUCUCAUCAGACAUUCAGUUUAUUCAUUUUUUUCACUGUAGACUUGUGGUUUCUUAUUUAAGUCAAUAGG
rnacentral:lncRNA from 1 species